UACGAAGGGGGCUAGCGUUAUUCGGAAUUACUGGGCGUAAAGCGCACGUAGGCGGCUUUGUAAGUUAGAGGUGAAAGCCUGGAGCUCAACUCCAGAAUUGCCUUUAAGACUGCAUCGCUUGAAUCCAGGAGAGGUGAGUGGAAUUCCGAGUGUAGAGGUGAAAUUCGUAGAUAUUCGGAAGAACACCAGUGGCGAAGGCGGCUCACUGGACUGGUAUUGACGCUGAGGUGCGAAAGCGUGGGGAGCAAACAGG
rnacentral:rRNA from 1 species